CGAAGAGAUGCAGCAGCGUCACCUUCAGUUUUUUUCUUUGAGAAAACAGCAUUGUAGCCUACAGUCCAUACAAUCAUCCAACUGGUUCCACUAAAUCAUCUUCAAAUAACAUGACAUAGUCUGAGAUACUCGACAAGAGCGCCCAGACAUUGAGUUUGUUAGUUUAAGCUUUCCCAUUGGUGGGUGGAGUUUACUGUAUUUGCUUUUCACAAACAACAUAAAAAAGAGGAGGGGCAUGGAGGGAGAUAUUAUCCUGUUUUCAGAGCGGCAGCCUUGGUGGUGUACCCAGUAAUCUUUGCAGUGUUUUUCAAAAUGAUGAAACUGCAUCAAAGGCUGGUGGUUCCUGGUCCCCUUGCCGAUGCUAUCCCCCACGACAUCCCCCCCAAUCCCCCUGGACAUCGAGGGGAGUCAGGGAUAUUUUAUCAGAUCCCUACUGGACUCCCGGCGUUGUGGGGGUCGGCUCCAGUACCUGGUGGACUGGGAGGGGUAUGGCCCAUACGAGCGGUGUUGGGUUCCGGUUGAGGAUAUUCUGGAUCCCAACAUCAUCCAUGAUUUCCACCUUUGCCGCCCGGAACACGUCAGGGGGGGGGGUUACUGUCACGUCUAGUCCUGCUCCUCCACUCCGGCGUUCGACAUUGCCUGACUGCUAACCACCGUUCCUGGGAUUCAUCAUUACGCACACCUGUUUAUCAUUAUGAUUCACACCUGGACUCCAUGACCUUCCUCAUUACUUCACAUUCAUCUGUCCCUCUCUUACGUUUGUCCACAGUCACUAUUGUUCCAAUGCUUUUCGCCACUGUGAUGUUCUCGUUUCAUGUUUAUUGUUUUAUUAAACAUUUCACCUGCACCUGC